CCUGCUGCAUUGGGUUUUGUACCAGUCCUAUCCGCCGACCUGAGGAGUAUUGGGGAGUAGAUGUUGCGAGAUCCCGGAACUAUCUGUGGGAUUCAAAUGGAUGGAUAAAGACCCAUAGAUAUGAAACGAGGGUCCUUCUAUAGGGUACGAAAAUCUCACCUAAAUCCCAAUAAUGCUGCAUUGUAAUUUCAGAAAACCAGGGAGCCGUUGGAUGAAGAAAAAGCUCCUCUGCAGGCACAUAUCAAACCCUCGAUGCAUCUGCAAUGUAAGGCUCUUGCAGUGGAAGACAACUGGCUGCCAUUGAUGGUGGUGGUUGCUGAGGGCUUCGAUGCUCGAUUUAAAGGUGGGUCUCUCCUUUUCUGGUUUCCCCCUACGUUGACAUAGCAGACCUGACUUUCCCAGCCCUUGGCCACCAACUGAUCUGAUCCCCUCUUCGUCUUCUAUCUCCCUCUUUUCCUCUACAGCUGGGUUUCAUAUAAACCCUGAUUCAGGUGAAAGCUUCAGGAGGAUAUAACUCAAUCGUAAGGACCGGUGAGUGAAUAACUCUAUUUGAUACCAGUUUUGCUUCAACAUGAAUGAAGAAACACCCAUCACUAAUGUCAAAAUCCAUUUAACAUGUAGGUGUUCUAGUGGUCUGAUUCAGCAGCUUGUGCCUCAGCUACAAGCAAAUCAACGUAAUCACAGGCUAAACCCUACCUCAGAGUUUUCAUUUCCUACAUCUCUGUUCUCUCCAGAGUCAACCAUUUCAGGGUGCAUUCAGAUGAUAGGCCCGGAUCUCACACAUCAUACCAAAUUGGAGCAUAGGAUCGGAGGGGGCUACUCUCAAGUUCUGGAGCGGGUUCAAAACAAGGUUUUGAGUAUACGUAUCAGCCCCUAUAACAGCCAGCCUAGCCGAUAUGAUGUGGGCCCCGUAUCGGCUAAGAGGGCCCUAUAAUGGCCCCUGUAUUUACUUUCAUUUUGGACAUGUAUUUGAUGGUGUAACAGGCUAUUCUUUAGUAAGAAUAUUGUAUGUCAGGAUUCAUGUUUAAAGUUGAAUGUUGAGUAGCAAUUGACUCUUAAGUUAUAAUAUGCAAUACUCUAAUGUCAAUA